ACGAACGCUGGCGGCGUGCCUAAUACAUGCAAGUCAAGCGGAAUGAUGAAGAAGCUUGCUUCUUCUGAUUUUAGCGGCGGACGGGUGAGUAACACGUGGGCAACCUACCUUGUAGAUUGGGAUAACUCCGGGAAACCGGGGCUAAUACCGAAUAAUCCAUUUUGCUUCAUGGCGAGAUGUUGAAAGACGGUUUCGGCUGUCACUACAAGAUGGGCCCGCGGCGCAUUAGCUAGUUGGUAGGGUAAUGGCCUACCAAGGCGACGAUGCGUAGCCGACCUGAGAGGGUGAUCGGCCACACUGGGACUGAGACACGGCCCAGACUCCUACGGGAGGCAGCAGUAGGGAAUCUUCCACAAUGGACGAAAGUCUGAUGGAGCAACGCCGCGUGAGUGAAGAAGGUUUUCGGAUCGUAAAACUCUGUUGUAAGGGAAGAACACGUACGAGAGUAACUGCUCGUACCUUGACGGUACCUUAUUAGAAAGCCACGGCUAACUACGUG
rnacentral:rRNA from 1 species